rnacentral:lncRNA from 1 species
UUAAAUCAUGUUACUUUCUAUUUUGUUCAAUUCAGUCCAAUAUCAAUCACAAUGAAUUAAUUUAUACAACAAUCAUGUACUCACCUCGAUACUCAAUCAUUCAAUUAACAUGAAUAUGAAAACACAUAUAUUGAUCUCGAAUCAUAAAAGUACAAAUUGAAUGCUUAUUUCACUUGUCGACGACUCUUGUUUUUCCUUUCCCUCUCGACAACCUAGUGUCGUCCUUAGCUACAUAUGAUAAUUUAAAAAAUAAACAAUAUCAAAUUUCAUCCAAUUCACAUUCAAAUACAAAACCAAGCAUAUUUUACAUUUUUUUUCAAUUUAGUCUUUAUACGCAGGAUAUGCAUAUCUUUUGAUAUUUAGCAUCAAAUUAAAAUCCAAUUUCACAUUAUUUCAUUAGGGACCUUAUAUUUUCUAUUCAUAGCAUAAUUUCAUGAUAUAUUUUCAAUUUAUUCCCUAAUGUCACAAAGUUAACUAUCAAUCUUAUUUAGCUUUACAAUUUAGUUCUUAUCAUGAUAUAAAUUUAAUUUCUAUCAAUUUCAAGCCUAAUUAAUCAAUUUCUCAACAAUGGCAACUUGCUAAAAACUCAACAAUUGAAAAAAUUGUUACAUAGGCUAACUAAAUCAAACUCCCAUGACCAUAAAUCUAUAAAAAAUUACAUAAAAAAUAGCUUGGUUACCUUUAGAUUUUAGCUUGGCCGAAUGUAUUGAGGGAGCUUGAAGCUUUCUUUAUUUCUAAAUAAUG